CCGAGGGAGCUGUGAGGGAAAUUUAAAUGUGGCUUUCCAAAGGCAGCAUGAGAGAGAAUAUUGAGUGGCUGGUUUUCAUUUGGGGAAAUACUGAAUUUCUGUCCAAAUUACUGGAGUUCAGGCCAUUUUUGGAUCUUAUUGCAGUGUUCCCCAUCACACUGUCAGACAGAGGGUGAUCCUGGGGGCAGCAGAGGUCACUGGAUAAAGUUGUACUGCCUGUGCUGUCACUGCUCUGAGGAAGACCUGCUAUUCACUCAACACACAAGUCACCAGCGAACACUGCCGGCGCUCCUCAAGAACGAAGGCACUAUCUGCACACAUCAGGCAGCGUGUUAUAAGAAAGGGUGACAUUGAACAGUGAGGGAAGCUCCUGGUUUACUGACAGGACAAUUAGAGGAAGCAAAUCUGAGCUGAAUAUUCCAGAUAGGGUGGGCAUGCAGCAGGGUGACGGACACCUCCAGGGGCACCAUAGGGGUGUACGUGCUGAUUGGUUUAUCUGGGAGAAGUGCACAGGAAGCAAAGCAGUGACAUGCUCGACAGGCUUGAAUCAUUCACGAGACAAAAGUGAGGGCGCGGCCUGAUGAAGAUGUAAGGUAAUAUCCCAGCAGCACACAAGGUUAGGGGUGCCAAUUAACCCCAGAUGGAUGGAGUCGCCCACACGAGAGGUGACGUGAGGAGCCCUGAUGAGAAUUCCACUAAUCAGCUGAGGAUUAACAGGGACUCAGACAACACUACAUCUAAUUCCCCCUUCACAGCCACUGGGGCAACAAGAGGGCCCCACGCAGCACUGCAGCACACCACCAAUGAACACACCACUAUACAUGUGUGUGCAACUAUUUCUAUUGUGAUAUAACAAAGAAUUUCACCUGUUGAUUUAGACAUCAUGAGUCUUUAGGUAUUCAUUUAGAUGCUCCAUCGUGCUAACUCUGUCUUGAAAAGUGUUUAAAUUCUAGUAGUUUUCCCAAGUAAAUGUAAGUGCUGCCUGGAUUUUAAUCAGGGCCAACAUUUUGCUAUGUUUUUGUAUUAGUCGAAAAAAACUUAGGGCAGUAAAAAAAAAAUGCGUACGAGCAGGGGAUCGGGUUUUGAAUUCUGAAUCCAGAGUGUUCCGGUUUAGGCAGAAAAAAGUGUUUUGGUAUGCUGGAAACUUUAGUUUUUCACUUCCGAGCUCAUUUAAUCGUCAUUCCCCAGAUUGAAAUGGCCAUUUUUCAGGAUCUCCACAUUUUAGGAUCUAAUUUCUUGCUUUUCUCUGUUGGCUAUCACAUUAAAUUGAAUAACAAAUAAGAAUAGAUUUAGAGACAUCACCGCAGACUUUGAGGAGCUACAUUUUUUUAUAUUUCCUGACAAUUUAUAGACUAACUAUUAAUCUAAUAAUAAAAUAUGAAUUGGCUGAUUAAUUGAUAAUGAAAAUAAUCAUUACUUGAAGCCCUUUUUCAGAUAGAUUUUUAUAACCAAACAUAUCCAAGCUCUUGCUUUAAGUCGUAGUUGACUUCAAAAAUAUACAUCCCAUGUUUCCCUAACCUGGAAAAAUCUCUAUGCUUAAAAUGUGUUGCUGUUUCUUUGAUUGAAAUAGGAACUUGUGAAGUUUACAUGCAUUUUAUUGUUUUGCAUUUACUAACCAAUUUAUUCAAAACAACUAAUGGACCUCUGAAAGAGUUUAUGUGAUUGGGCAGUUCUUUGUGUAACUGGGUGCAGGGAUGUUGCCCUACGCUUGAAAAAUGAAUGACUCAUGCUGGGUAAAACACUAUUGGCUCUUCAAACGCAACAGGACUUAUUGUUUAGGCCUUCAUGUUUUCUUAUGGUUCUGUCUGAGAUGAGCAUAGGGUGUAAUCCUGUGUGCUUGGAUAAGAACACGUUGGUCGGCUUGUGUUUUUGUGUGACACUGGCAUCAUGAACUCAUUCAUUUUAAUACCAAGGCUCACCAGCCAGGUCAUGCUGGGCCACCCACAAAGCAAAAAAAAAAAAAUCUGAACAUCAAGAGUGUGCAGUUUCACACUGCAGAGGUGGGACAUGUGAUGUUUUACAGUCAGUAUGUCUGCAUCUUCUUUAUAUUAAUGCAUCAAACCGUGCAUUUUGCCUGAUGCACAGAUCACGAUAAUAUAUUAGAGGCAUCAGGGGUAAGUGGGUUGCAUUUUCAGCCUGGUUAAGUACAUUUUGGCAGCGGUCCCGUGCUAUCUCGGAGACAGGUUGGCUUCCCAGCCUCCCACAGUUUCGCAGUAAUGAAGGAGCUGUCUUACCCAAACAAACAGGCUCUCUGGAGAUGUACCUCAACUACCUCCUUAAUCCAGGAAGUCUCUCUUAUCUCUGCACAAAUGGCCCCGUAGUGAGGCACCGCACACUGCAAUGUCAUUCAUCAGUUAAACCCCAGGGCGAUGAGCAGGUACGAUUGCUUCAAGAUAAGAAAGUGAAAAGUGACAGCAUGCGCUCUGGAGGCGUAAAUCAGAGCUUCGAGCUCAGGUUUUUGUCGAUCAGACGUCAAUCUAUGUGUCACUGUUCUGAAUCCACAAAGAAUAAUGUGCUUGUGUUUUUCAUUGGCAGAUAUCAAUACCUCUAUUACCCAAGUCCCCCUGCUGUGAUGGUGUUGUUGUGUUGGUCAUUGAGGAUUUUAAGAUUACUCUACUGCAGCAUUCAUCAUAAAUCGUCCAAGACGAGAUUCUGUUCAAUACAGUUAAAAAAAAUGUAUGCUUCUCAUAGAAUAGAAC